rnacentral:tRNA from 1 species
AGGAAUGUAGCUCAGUGGUAGAAUAUCUGCAUUGCAUGCAGAAGUUCCCAGGUUCAAUUCCCAGCAUCUCCU